rnacentral:rRNA from 1 species
GAUGAACGCUAGCGGCAGGCUUAAUACAUGCAAGUCGAGGGGGCAGCAAUGUCACCGGCGAACGGGUGCGUAACACGUAUGCAACCUACCUAUAUCAGGGGGAUAGCCCGAGGAAACUCGGAUUAAUACCGCAUAAUAUUAGGAUCGGCAUCGAUGUUAAUUGAAAGAUUUAUUGGAUAUAGAUGGGCAUGCGUAGGAUUAGCUAGUUGGUAAGGUAACGGCUUACCAAGGCUACGAUCCUUAGGAGCUCUGAGAGGAGUAUCCCCCACACUGGCACUGAGAUACGGGCCAGACUCCUACGGGAGGCAGCAGUAGGGAAUAUUGGGCAAUGGGCGAAAGCCUGACCCAGCCAUGCCGCGUGCAGGACGACGGCCCUCUGGGUUGUAAACUGCUUUUGAAUGGGAAGAAAGGUAUGCUUGCGAGCGUAAUUGACGGUACCAUUAGAAUAAGCCACGGCUAACUACGUGCCAGCAGCCGCAGUAA